AAUAAUUUGAAAAAAUAAAUUAAUGAGAUUUGAAUUUUCCAUCAUUAUGUGGUUAUUACCUGAUCAUUGUGAAAAGCAUUCCAGUACUGGGUGGAAAUGAUAUAUUCAAAGCAGAGACUCAGUAGAUCUGAAAGGCAUAAAUAACCUGUAGGACCAGGUGGCUCAGAUGCCUGUGCUUUGUUUGCUCUCCUUCAUAUACACUAAUGGUGUCACAGAGAAUUCCUAUGUUUAGAUAACAAAGGAGGAAAAGGAAAACCAGGCUUGUGGAGUGGCUUACACCAAAUACUAGCACUGGCCAGAAGUGAUGCCUUAUAGCCUGAUUUAGAAGUGACCCUGAAAUUCAACAAUGAAUGAACAAAGAAAAUGUGGUGUGCACAUGCAAUGGAAUAAUACUCAGCCUUUAAAAGGAAGGAAAUUCUGACACAUGCUACAAUGUGGAGUUGUCCAAGAUGAAACAUGAAGACUUUAUGCUUCUUUCAUCCUUUGAACUAUUCCUUCAAGGGAAUGGAUCCAAAUUUAUCUCUUACCAGAACCCUCAGACUUGAAACCCCAGAACAUGUAAUAUUUCCCCACAUGCUCUGAGUUCCCAUGAUUCAUGGAUUGCUUUUACCAAAUCUUUCACAUCUGUCUCUUUCCUAGUCUCACCACCCUCAUCAGAACUCAAAGCAGACACAAUUGGUUCCAUGUGGACCAUCUGAAAUUGUCCCUGAUUGUGUUUAGAAUUGCAACCAGAGUAUUACUCAAACCCCAUAGCUAGCAAUUUUUAUAGGCAAUGUCAUAAGAGGUAAAUAAGGGAGGAAUUCAUGUAAGAAAACAUUUUACACUGACCUUGAACCUGGCCAUUUGGCUCCCAUAAAUCUAUUCUAUAUCAAUCUUUUUAUAUAAGUAUGAUUACUGAUGUGUUAUUAGAAAAUUAGGAAAUUCUCAAAUGACUACCUAAAUUAUGACUUAUCUUACAGUGAGAUUUCACAACUUUACAAAGAAUGAGGUAGAUCUUUUGGUGACGUUAUAGAAAGAUAAUCCCAAAAUACUGUUAAGUGAACAAAAGAAUGCUGUAUAAACUUGCAUAUAGUAUGUUUACAUUUUUCUUUUUAAAAUUCUUUUAUUCAAUUAUAAUAAUGCUAAGUGAAAUAAGUCAGAGAAAGGGAAAUAUUAUAUGACUUCACUUAUAUGUGGAAUUUAAGGAACAAAACAA